UGGACAAUACUCUCCCAUUUUGGAAACGUUACAUGUACAAUACUAUCCCAUUUAGGAAACCUUACAUGUACAAUACUAUCUCAUUUAGGAAACGUUACAUGUACAAUACUAUCCCAUUUUGGAAACGUCACAUCUACGCUCCCUUGUGGAGGGAAAUUAAUAGUCUAGAUGGUAGCUGUAGAUGAGAUUCAAGUGCAUAAUGGUAUUAAUACAGUGUCUAGACUUCCUCUUUUGUAUAAAUGCCCUUCAGAAUCCAAACACAGUAUUGCCACGCAGCAAAAUGUUGUGCAUAAUCUUUCAAGUCAGCCUGAUAAAAUAUUAAACCAUUUGUGUACAAAGAUAUCUUGAAAUGUGAUAUUAGGCCUGUAUGGCAGUACUGUAAUGGCUAGUGCUUUUUCCAAUAUGUUAUUAUAUUUUACAUUACAUUGUAUGUCGAUACCAUUUAUCUUUCAGUAUUUAUUUAAUAUAUAUAUAUAUGUUUUAAUGCUUGUAAUUCUUCGACACAUUUUCUCUUCCUUUGAAAUUCUUAUAGGACAGAACAUGGACACAAUGCAAUUGGGAUCAAGAAGAAGAUACAUGUUGUAGGACAGCUGCAUUUGAAGUGUGCAUUUAACCUACAUAGCGGUCAAUACAAACUGAAAUCUAUUAGCAUACAAAUGUGUGCAAAUGAUUUUUUCAGAUCUUCUCAGAAAAGAAUCAAGUCCAUGGAAUGGAUAUAGACACAUAGAGAAUUCAAGGACUAGCAGAGGUAGAGAGGCGAGGCAGGGGUGAGGACAUCAUCCUGCUAUUUUGACAGUCCCUGAAGGACAAAACAGAAGAGGACUGGAGACCACAGCAGCGACCCUGCUCUUGCCCUACCUCUUCAAUGAGGACCCGAGUGGCCUUUAUGUCCGUGACAAGAUUUCACCGCUCUUCACUCCUUUACUGCACAUCGGCGGAAAUCUAUUUCACCAUGAGAGUGAAAUCCCGCUGGCAUUUGAUGGGGAGAACAUCCACGCCCUCGAGGAUGUCCCCAUGGGACUUGGCUCUGCUACGGCUGUAUUUUUUAUUUUCCAUAAAAUUUCAGAAAAACACUUAUGUUCUUAAGUUUUUGUGUUCUGGGGAUAAGAUAAGUUGGGGUGAAGUUACCAGGGCUGGUCAUAAAGAUGUCAAACUUCCUAACAUAACUAAGUGGAUACGAUAUACACACAAUAUACACACAUCUGUAUUUAGCAUCAAGUACAAUAUUGUUAAUUUACCUUCUGAUUCAUUUUUAAUGUGUGUUUUUAUUGUACAUCAUUAUUUUUUCAUUUUUUUAUGUCAUGAAAAGCACUAUACAAAGUAAAUGUAUUAUUUAAUAUGGUCUGACAUGUCUGCAGAAAUGUUGCAAUAUUGUAAUGUGUUUUGUUUGGUAAAUUGUUUUGUAAAUAUUAAUUCACAUUUGCA